UACGUAGGUGGCAAGCGUUGUCCGGAAUUAUUGGGCGUAAAGCGCGCGCAGGCGGUCCUUUAAGUCUGAUGUGAAAGCCUACGGCUCAACCGUGGAGGGUCAUUGGAAACUGGGGGACUUGAGUACAGAAGAGAAGAGUGGAAUUCCACGUGUAGCGGUGAAAUGCGUAGAGAUGUGGAGGAACACCAGUGGCGAAGGCGACUCUUUGGUCUGUAACUGACGCUGAGGCGCGAAAGCGUGGGGAGCAAACAGG
rnacentral:rRNA from 1 species